rnacentral:rRNA from 1 species
ACUCCUGCGGGAGGCAGCAGUGGGGAAUUUUGGACAAUGGGCGCAAGCCUGAUCCAGCCAUGCCGCGUGCGGGAAGAAGGCCUUCGGGUUGUAAACCGCUUUUGUCAGGGAAGAAAAGGUUCUGGCUAAUACCUGGGACUCAUGACGGUACCUGAAGAAUAAGCACCGGCUAACUACGUGCCAGCAGCCGCGGUAAUACGUAGGGUGCAAGCGUUAAUCGGAAUUACUGGGCGUAAAGCGUGCGCAGGCGGUUAUGCAAGACAGAGGUGAAAUCCCCGGGCUCAACCUGGGAACUGCCUUUGUGACUGCAUGGCUAGAGUACGGUAGAGGGGGAUGGAAUUCCGCGUGUAGCAGUGAAAUGCGUAGAUAUGCGGAGGAACACCGAUGGCGAAGGCAAUCCCCUGGACCUGUACUGACGCUCAUGCACGAAAGCGUGGGGAGCAAACAGGAUUAGAAACCCCUGUAGUCCCAUGAU